rnacentral:rRNA from 1 species
CUUGCUUUCUUUGCUGGCGACCGGCGCACGGGUGAGUAACACGUAUCCAACCUGCCCUUUACUCGGGGAUAGCCUUUCGAAAGAAAGAUUAAUACCCGAUAGCAUAAUGAUUCCGCAUGGUUUCAUUAUUAAAGGAUUCCGGUAAAGGAUGGGGAUGCGUUCCAUUAGGUUGUUGGUGAGGUAACGGCCCACCAAGCCUUCGAUGGAUAGGGGUUCUGAGAGGAAGGUCCCCCACAUUGGAACUGAGACACGGUCCAAACUCCUACGGGAGGCAAGCAUG